GAGUGGAAUCGGAGUUUCAGGGGUUGAGCGACAUGGAUGUCGCGAGAGCGUCGUUGGGCCAUGGAUGGCCCAUCGACGCGGGCCCCUGAAACUUCGAUGGAGCGG
rfam:Pseudomonas denitrificans ATCC 13867, complete genome.